GACGGGGGGUCCUAGCGUUGUUCGGAAUCAUUGGGCGUAAAGCGUGUGCAGGUGGUUUGGUAAGUUGGAUGUGAAAGCCUUGGGCUUAACCCAAGAAGUGCAUUCAAAACUACCAAACUUGAGUAAGGAAGAGGGUCGUGGAAUUCCAGGUGUAGUGGUGAAAUACGUAGAGAUCCGGAAGAACACCAGUGGCGAAGGCGGCCCGCUGGGCAGUGGCUGACGCUGAGGCGCGACAGCGUGGGGAGCAAACAGG
rnacentral:rRNA from 1 species